UUGAUCCUGCCAGUAGCAUAUGCUCGUCUCACAGAUUAAGCCAUGCAAGUCUAAGUACAAACGGACGGUACAGUGAAACUGUGGAUGGCUCAUUAAAUCAGUUAUGGGUCCUUUGAUCGCUCACACCGUUAUUUGGAGAACU